GUGAGAAGUGAGUUGCGCCCUGGACUGGUCACCGGUCACUGUCAGGUCACAUCGAGACACAAAGUGGACUGUUCGCCAGUUCGUGACAAAGAAACAAACCGCCAUUUACACCAAAGGCCGAUUUCCGGUCUUCAUCCGGUGGUAUUGCCUUGACUUGCGCGGUUUUGUUUGUUCCCCGUUACGAGCAAUCGCUUUCUUCUUGAGACGUGAGUGCGUCUCAGACCCCCGCCGCGAGAUGGCGCCAGCAACCUUCCCCACCACCAAGUUGCGGUGGUUUCCUUGCACCGAAGGACAAGAUCAAUUCGUGGCGCUCGUCAGCUAUUCAUAGGUUUUGCCAAUCAACACAAGGGAAGGGGGGGGGGUGGGUGCGUCGUUUUCCGUUUAUCCAGGCGACGUGGAUAGAAAAUGUUUGGCCCGUAUGCUUGUUUUUUAAUGUUUUGAUUUCGUGUUUGUCGACAAUACAAUGUUGAG